rnacentral:rRNA from 1 species
UACAGAGGUCUCAAGCGUUGUUCGGAUUCAUUGGGCGUAAAGGGUGCGUAGGCGGCGCGGUAAGUCGGAUGUGAAAUCUCGGAGCUUAACUCCGAAACUGCAUUCGAUACUGCCGUGCUUGAGGACUGGAGAGGAGACUGGAAUUUACGGUGUAGCGGUGAAAUGCGUAGAUAUCGUAAGGAACACCAGUGGCGAAGGCGGCUCACUGGCCCGAUACUGACGCUGAGGCACGAAAGCGUGGGGAGCAAACAGG